rnacentral:rRNA from 1 species
GACGGUGGUCAUAGUGGUAGGGAAACGCCCGGUUACCAUUCCGAACCCGGAAGCUAAGCCUACCAACGCCGAUGGUACUGCACUCGAGGGGGUGUGGGAGAGUAGGACACCGCCGUCA